CAAUGGGCGAAAGCCUGAUCCAGCAAUGCCGCGUGUGUGAAGAAGGCCUUCGGGUUGUAAAGCACUUUUGUCCGGAAAGAAAUGGCUCUGGUUAAUACCUGGGGUCGAUGACGGUACCGGAAGAAUAAGGACCGGCUAACUACGUGCCAGCAGCCGCGGUAAUACGUAGGGUCCAAGCGUUAAUCGGAAUUACUGGGCGUAAAGCGUGCGCAGGCGGUUGUGCAAGACCGAUGUGAAAUCCCCGAGCUUAACUUGGGAAUUGCAUUGGUGACUGCACGGCUAGAGUGUGUCAGAGGGGGGUAGAAUUCCACGUGUAGCAGUGAAAUGCGUAGAGAUGUGGAGGAAUACCGAUGGCGAAGGCAGCCCCCUGGGAUAACACUGACGCUCAUGCACGAAAGCGUGGGGAGCAAACAGGAUUAGAUACCCUGGUAGUCCACGCCCUAAACGAUGUCAACUAGUUGUUGGGGAUUCAUUUCCUUAGUAACGUAGCUAACGCGUGAAGUUGACCGCCUGGGGAGUACGGUCGCAAGAUUA
rnacentral:rRNA from 1 species